rnacentral:rRNA from 1 species
CAGCAGCCACGGUAAUACGUAGGUGACAAGCGUUGUCCGGAAUUAUUGGGCGUAAAGGGCUCGCAGGCGAUUUCUUAAGUCUGAUGUGAAAGCCCCCGGCUCAACCGGGGAGGGUCAUUGGAAACUGGGAAACUUGAGUGCAGAAGAGGAGAGUGGAAUUCCACGUGUAGCGGUGAAAUGCGUAGAGAUGUGGAGGAACACCAGUGGCGAAGGCGACUCUCUGGUCUGUAACUGACGCUGAGGGGCGAAAGCGUGGGGAGCGAACAGGAUUAGAUACCCGCGUAGUCCCUGUCUCUUAUAC